rnacentral:rRNA from 1 species
UACGGAGGGGACUAGCGUUGUUCGGAAUUACUGGGCGUAAAGCGCACGUAGGCGGAUUUGUAAGUCGGGGGUGAAAUCCCGGGGCUCAACCUCGGAACUGCCUUUGAUACUGCAAAUCUCGAGUCCGGAAGAGGCGAGUGGAACUCCUGGUGUAGCGGUGGAAUGCGCAGAUAUCAGGAAGAACACCAACGGCGAAGGCAGCUCGCUGGGACGGUGCUGACGCUGAGACGCGAAAGCGUGGGGAGCGAACAGG